rnacentral:rRNA from 1 species
CAAGGUUCCGUAUGUGAACUGCGGAGGAUCAU